rnacentral:lncRNA from 1 species
AAUUUCUCAGUUGCAGAGGCAGAGAGGAAGAAAGGUCCAGUGCAUACUUGUCUUCCUUCCUUUGCAGUCUGUGCAUAUGCUAGUCUGAAAGCAGUAAUCCACUUUACCAAAUCAAGUUAUUUUUAAAAAAUUUUCUGGGAACUGAAGCUGCUGUACCUUUUUCUAAGGUUUCUAAAUAAUAAACAUUUGAAUUUGGUUCUGUGAAAUGAAAUUAUUCUGUUGAGGAGGACGGUUGCUGGUUUGUUCCAGUCUACAGCUGAGAGAGGCUUUCCCACUCAAUCUCUUCUUUUAUGCCAUUUCUUGGAUUUGCAGUCACCUUUGACAUACUAUUGCCACAUUUUAUUAAAGAAAAUAUAUCAGAGUUCUGGAUGAGUCAUUUUCUGCGGAGGAAAGCUGGAUUUAUGGUUUUGAAGAUCCAGCUUUGAACAGGCAGAAGUAUUUUCUUAUUAAUUCAGCCUGAUGAAAGUGAUUGGUGUGCAGAAGCUUAACUAAGUCCUUAUGUACUCGACUUGUUAUCCUUUGGGAAUUGGAAUGUCAUGUUUUCUCAGAAAUAUACUGAAGUCCUGCACCAGUCAUUUAUGAUAAAUCUCAGUGGUUUGCCACGUACAAGCAACACAAAUGUGGAUCAUCUUUAUUGUGAGUUGUGUAUUCUGAAGAAGUGUCUGAAUGAUUUAUCUGAAGAGUUAAUGUGUUCACUGAAGAGGUCAUCAAAGGAACUUGAAUGAUCACAGCCACAUCUUAGAUAUCACUGCCUGCCUUGGAACAAUUGCAGAGAUGUCUAGCUGGUUCUGCUGGGCAUGGAUCUUGGCAUUCUCGUUGUGGCCUCAUCGUAACCCAGUGACAGGUUGUUCAAGCAGUGCUCUUGCCUCAUAGCAUGAAAGGGGGGUUUCCACAAUGUGCCUCUGCCUCGUGUGUCAGGGGAGCUGGAUUUGGCAGCAAACAGGAAAACUGAUCUGUUUGAUAGGAGAAGAGGAAAAUGGGGAGGUUUGUCCCACAUCAGAGAGCCUAGUAGAAUGGUAUUCUAGGAUAUCACUGUCUCCCUUUUGGAACUGUUCUGAAAAUAAGGACAUUGUCUUUUCUUGGGGCAGGAUGUAGGAAAGCAUUAAUGUGGGUGUGUAUUCAUUUUAUAUGUAGCAGUACUACCAGCUUGUUCUGUGCUAAGCUGGUGGUCAGCCUCUGGAGUUCCCAGUGCGUGUGUUUCAGGGAUUUAUGUUUGUUUAUAUAUGUAGAAGAUCUCCUCCAUUAAUUUUAUAGGCAGCUACAGCACUAAUAUCUGAAGAGUCUGUUAUGUACCUAAGACACCAAAGAACUGAAUGCUGAAAUAAGCUAUUGUAUUCCUUAGGGCUAUAGAUUUUACCAGGCAUCUGAUGCCCACCCCAGGAAAACAACCCUUUGAUUUCAGGAGGAUUUUCAAGGACCUUGAGUUUCUGAAGUGCUUAGAACGAGAUUCACUUCCCCCCGCUCUCCAUUUUUUUUUUUAAUUCUCUUCUCUGAAG